ACUGAGUUAGCGACGUAUGAAGAACGGGACCCAGGGGCCCGUUGCACAAAAGUCGAAUUAAGAAAGCCAGGAUAACAGAACAGUCGCGGCUUGACCUAGUUUAAUCAGUGCAUCCUGCCUUAAUCUGUUGCACGUUUGCUGAGCCAGGAUGAGAACGCGCGGAUAUGUCAAGCCAGGUGUAUAUUGUUUGGAUAAAUGCACGUUCACUGCAUUCUUAAAAGAUCACAAAAUCGAUCACAGAAUCAAUGAUGCAAAAAUGGACAAAACCCGUGCGGCAUACUUUUCGCCUAAUGAGCAACAGCUUCUUAUGGAAACGUAUGAAGAAGUGAAACAUAUUAUAUGUAAAAAAGGCAAUACAGCUGCUGUAAUAAAGCAAAGAGAGAAUGCCUGGCAAACAAUAGUGGACCGAUUGAAUGCGUAAGUAGUCCAAAUAACCAGUGCUCCACUGAAACCCUCACAAUUACAAUCCAAGGAGUUUCUUGUCAUUUUCAAAAAUAAUUGUAUACUUUGCUUUAAAUGUGACCAGUGGACUUGCAUUUAACAUGAAGAAUAAUUGCAAACACUUACCCACUAUGUGCAUCUAUUUGAUCUAUUUAGUUUCUUUUAUGUCUAUUAUCUGUUUAAUCUUUGUACUCUUAUCUAUUUGUAUGUAGGUUUUGUUUGUAAUUGAUUUGAUGUAACCUAUAAUCAGAUAAUUUGCUCUAUUUUUACCCAUCAAAUCUAUUUUAUCAUUUGUAUCUAUCUAUUCCUCUUAAAGAACAAACAUGUCUGGCCAAAAAAGGACUUGGCAGCAAGUCAAGAUUAAAUACAAGAAUAUUUUGCAGGCUGGUAAGUGACUUGUUUGCGGAGAACAUAGGUGACAUGUUUUAAGACAUUUUACUGUCUGUGCUGAUUUUAGCAAUAAAAAAAAGUCAUAUAUCUGGUACGGGGGUGGCUCUCCAACCCAAGACUUCACCACAGCAGAGGAGCUGGCCCUGGACUUAAAUAAAGGGAAGCCAGUGAUUGAAGGGAUCCAGGGAGGGACAGCCACUGCCUCUGGCCCAGCAAGGGAUACUGGCCUCCUCAUACAAGUGGCUGGUAACACCCUUACACUUUUGGAGCCACCAGACUAUAAUUCAUCGAGGGAAGCCACAUCUACAGCAGUGGAGUGCACUUCUGCUGAUGAUGAGACCGUGUCGCUGGACUCCAGAAGGCUCGAGGAUCCUGACAUUGGGCAGCCUGGCAACAUAGUGAGUAUUGCCUACAGUAAAUUUACAUUAUGCAAAAAUUCUGCAGUGCUAACUAAAAGGUGUUCACAGAAUUCACAAACUGUCAGAUAUCUCUACACAACGCAUCUUAAGAGACAUAUCAAGCUGACAGAAGUCAAGAUUGAUGUGAACAAAAGAAAGCUGCAGGACAUGGACCUUGAGAUGAAAAUUUAAUUCAAGACACUGAGGAAACUAGAACUGGAAAUCCAGAAACUAGAAGGAGAAGUAAGUGACUUCAGUUCAUACUGUAACCAUGACUGUAACACAAUGUAUUAAUCAUCAUAAUUUUUUUCUCUCAAAAGCUCCAAGCUGACAAGUGAUAACUGUAAAAUAAUAAAAGAAAAAUAUUCCAAAACCA
ensembl:lncRNA